UCGUCUUUGUUGCCAAACAGUUCUCGGCACUUGGGAUCAGGCGACAGUUGGUGUCGCCGAGGUGGGCGGUUAAAUGUCACCAGCGGCUCCCGUUAUAUAAAGUAGUGAAGUCUUGGCACUCCGCUCCUUUGUAAACCAGUGGCUCCUCGGUUUACAGGCGGGCUCACAGCCCUAGGAAGGGAAGCCGUGCCCAGGCGUUGCGGUUUUUUUUACAAACUCAAGGCAAAUCACUCCACCAGCAGAAAGAUUACAACUCGCUUUGUGGUGGUCUAGAACCAAACCCGCGAUAUCUCCGAGGACUCAAGUACUUUGCUGGCUUCUUGAGAAGUAAGUGCUGAACCUUGUUGAUGAUGCUUAGUGAGAACGUGUGCUGGAAACAGCCCGAGAAAAGGCAGAGAAGAAUGAAACAGAAAGAGCCAGGAACUCAGCACAGAACAGGAGAGGUCAGGAGUGGGAGGAUCCGGCCUCAGAAGGGGAGGUCAUGUUGGGGGUACCUGGGACUCCCAGGAACUACUUGUGGAGGGAAACCUGAGGAGGGGCUGGCUUUCCUGGGGCCACUCACGGGGCAGGAGGAGAGAUUUGGGUGGUAAGGCAGAGUGGUCGCUGAGGGCAGGAGAAACGGGUACAUCUGAGUUACGUAAAGUUUAUACAUUCUUCUAGCUCUGCGUGCUUAUUUUUUUAUUUUCCCUAUUCAAAACCUUUUAUAU